rnacentral:rRNA from 1 species
GAUGAACGCUGGCGGCGUGCCUAAUACAUGCAAGUCGAGCGAGCAGAUGAGGAGCUUGCUCCUCUGACGUUAGCGGCGGACGGGUGAGUAACACGUGGAUAACCUACCUAUAAGACUGGGAUAACUUCGGGAAACCGGAGCUAAUACCGGAUAAUAUAUUGAACCGCAUGGUUCAAUAGUGAAAGACGGUUUUGCUGUCACUUAUAGAUGGAUCCGCGCCGCAUUAGCUAGUUGGUAAGGUAACGGCUUACCAAGGCAACGAUGCGUAGCCGACCUGAGAGGGUGAUCGGCCACACUGGAACUGAGACACGGUCCAGACUCCUACGGGAGGCAGCAGUAGGGAAUCUUCCGCAAUGGGCGAAAGCCUGACGGAGCAACGCCGCGUGAGUGAUGAAGGUCUUCGGAUCGUAAAACUCUGUUAUUGGGGAAGAACAAAUGUGUAAGUAACUAUGCACGUCUUGACGGUACCUAAUCAGAAAGCCACGGCUAACUACGUG